GCUUCAUAUUACGAAAAGUUAGCCACCCCGGUCGAUAACCCGGACUUUGAUGAUACAUAUAAACUUAUUGUGGAACAGGACAUAUCAGCCUUGACCGAUACUUAUACUAAUAAUAGAGAUACUCUGGCCCCAGUCUCAGAAAAGGAGGUGGUACAAAUUAUUAAUUCACUUAAGAAUGGAAAGGCACCUGAUGCCUCUAGAGUAACUUGUGAACAUUUAAAAUU
rnacentral:lncRNA from 1 species